rnacentral:tRNA from 1 species
UCUGGUGACUCGGAUGGUAAAGAGCCUGCCUGAAAUGCAGGAGACCUGGGUUCAAUCCCUGCGUCAGGA